UGGGGAAUAUUGCACAAUGGGCGCAAGCCUGAUGCAGCCAUGCCGCGUGUAUGAAGAAGGCCUUCGGGUUGUAAAGUACUUUCAGCGGGGAGGAAGGCGAUAAGGGUAAUAACCUUGUCGAUUGACGUUACCCGCAGAAGAAGCACCGGCUAACUCCGUGCCAGCAGCCGCGGGAAUACGGAGGGUGCAAGCGUUAAUCGGAAUUACUGGGCGUAAAGCGCACGCAGGCGGUCUGUCAAGUCGGAUGUGAAAUCCCCGGGCUCAACCUGGGAACUGCAUUCGAAACUGGCAGGCUAGAGUCUUGUAGAGGGGGGUAGAAUUCCAGGUGUAGCGGUGAAAUGCGUAGAGAUCUGGAGGAAUACCGGUGGCGAAGGCGGCCCCCUGGACAAAGACUGACGCUCAGGUGCGAAAGCGUGGGGAGCAAACA
rnacentral:rRNA from 1 species